rnacentral:piRNA from 1 species
AUGGAUAUGUGGAUAUAUGUGUA